UACGGAGGGAGCUAGCGUUGUUCGGAAUUACUGGGCGUAAGCGCACGUUAGGCGGCUAUUCAAGUCGGGGGUGAAAGCCCGGGGCUCAACCCCGGAACUGCCCUCGAAACUAGAUAGCUAGAAUCUUGGAGAGGCGAGUGGAAUUCCGAGUGUAGAGGUGAAAUCGUAGAUAUUCGGAAGAAUACCAGUGGCGAAGGCGACUCGCUGGACAAGUAUUGACGCUGAGGUGCGAAAGCGAUGGGGAGCAAACA
rnacentral:rRNA from 1 species